AGACGGAUUUUGUUGUGUACGAAUUUUGGUUAUAAAUUGUUUUGAGAAAUAAUCCUGAUUAUAAUAUUCAUCAAUAUUUACCAUCGCAGUACUACAUUCGCAAUUAAAAAUGUUAUAUUUGACACAUAUUGUGAAUUUUGAAAGCCAUGCACAAUUUAUGGUUUGAUACGUGUACACUACGAUAUUUUGUAAUUAAACAAUCUUAGCAGUAUUAUCUCGAUCACGCCACGCUGCCGCCGCCGCCCCACUUAACACUUGUUGAUGGAAGUGUAUAUAAAGGCGUCCGAGAUCUUGAUUCCGGCAUAACACAUCUUUUUGUGAUCUAUUCUUUGUUUUCACUUUAAUCCUCAAAAACCAACCAAAAACCAAAAAUGGGCGCUGAAAAAGUAACCAUGAACAUCGUUGUCGUUGGACAAGUCCAAUCUGCCAAGGCCAUCAAAUCGGUCGCCAAAGCCACCCCAGCCACCAGCCAAUUGAUGAACUGCUAAUUUAUGUAGUCCAUACAUUCCAAAACUCAAAAAUGCCAUAGUCCAAACAAUACAAUAAUAUGUAACUCAUAAUAUCAGUAUUGCCAUCGCAAAAUAAAUCAGUCAUUUCCGAUGUACCAACACAA